rnacentral:lncRNA from 1 species
UAAUUGAAGAAAUUUUUCAGAUAAAAGCAUUUGUUAUUACCAGGUUGGUGUACACCUUCUUAUCAUAAAGUAUGAGUAAAGACUAUUGAGAAAAUAUAAAGCAUAAACUCAGUUUGACAAUGUAAAUAUGUGAAUUUCUUUAAAGAAUUCAAAAUUGUCCCAUUUAAAUAAUUCUUUUCAAAAUUGCUUUUGGCAUCUGAAGGAAUAACAUAUAAAAGUUUGUCAGUUGUUAUAUGUUAUUAUCAUUAGUAGUACUGAAUAUGACAUUUUUUCCUGUCUUUUAUUAGGCGUAGUAUUUGCCAAGGCAUUGAUUUAUUUUCAAUACUCUUUCUUCUUAAAUGACAGCAGUGUUGAGAAUAUAGGCACUGUGUGUGCUCUUUUUCACUAGUUUUCCAGGAUAGUUAAAAAAUUAGUUAUUUCCACUCUGUAUGGAAAUUAAAAGAACAAUAGCAAAUUUCAUUAAUUUGUUUUCUUCUAAUACAUUUUUUAAUUUCCAAAGUUCAUUAACUUGUUCUCUUCU